UCUGCACCUAUCAACAUAUCUAUCUUCUGUGGCUUGAAGAAAUAUGGGUCUGCAAGUGACUAUAAAGUCCUCCUGAAAACUACGUGCUGAAACCUAUCUAGACUUUGACUCAGAGCUAUGGGGCAACGCAAGCAGAAGCAACGUCGACAUUAUCCAGCGAGCACAGUCCAGAAUGGCACCUCCGUAAUGAGAAUAUCCAAAGAGACUUAACCAUCAAACUUUUAAAAGCUGCGAUACUAAAAUAAAAGGCAAAACAUCAAGCUAA